GACGAACCGAGCGAACGUUGUUCGGAAUCACUGGGCUUAAAGGGCGCGUAGGCGGGCAUUCAAGUCUGUGGUGAAAUCCGGCAGCUUAACUGUCGAAUUGCCAUGGAUACUGGGUGUCUCGAGGGAGGCAGGGGUGCGCGGAACUAAUGGUGGAGCGGUGAAAUGCGUUGAUAUCAUUAGGAACUCCGGUGGCGAAGGCGGCUCGCUGGACCUCUUCUGACGCUGAGGCGCGAAAGCUAGGGGAGCAAACGGG
rnacentral:rRNA from 1 species